rnacentral:lncRNA from 1 species
AAACACAAAACCAAUUAAGAUUGGGUGCGAACAUUUAGGGUGUGAAAGUGAAAGGGGGCGAACAUGAGUGGGCGCGAACGGACCCGGAUUCAGACUAUGUACCAGUGAGAAAUAUACAAGCCUUUCUACGGUAUUUAUUUGUACAAUUCAGGUAGUCUUGACCUAUUCAUUUGUCUUAAAAAAACAGCCAGUUGUCACCUUCACUUCACACACACACACAUAUAUACGAAUAUCAAUUAUAUGCUUACGAGACAUGUUGCAUUGUUAAACUAAUUACGGUAUGUGAAAAUCAAGACUUGCAUAAAAACUAUCCCAAUAUUAGAGACAGUGGCGUCAUUUUUCUUCAGAGCUUUCAGCUCUUUGAUUAGUUCUUUG